GGAUCACUAAAAGCAACAAGAAGGUAAUGAAGACUGAGCUAGGAAAUGUAAUAGAAUUGAAUCAGCACUGUGAAAAAUGAAGAUGACUCUAAGGACCUAGAACCACAGAGUUAGAACUAGGAGAGAGAUCAGAGGUCAGCUAGUCCAACAGUCUUAUUUUGCAGAUGAAGAAAACCCAGUUGAAAAAUUCUGUUCUGAAGGAAACCUUUCCUGGUCUUCCAACUACUUGGUGCCUUUUCCCCCUCCACCCCACCCUCAUCUUCUGCUACCUUAUAUCAUUUUAUAUAGAAUCAGUCAGUCAAUAAAUAUUAUUAAAAACCUACUAUGUCAGGCACUAUGCUAAGUACUAAGGAUGCAAAAAAAGGUAAAAGACAACUCAUGCUCUUAGAGUCUACAUGAUGUCUCUGUCAUAGCAUAAACUCCUUGCAAGCCAUAACAAUUUCAUUGUUGUAUCACCAACACCCAGGAUAGAGCUUGAUAGUUUGUAGGUAUUGAAUAAAUACUUUUAGAUUGAUAAGUUGAUUUCA
rnacentral:lncRNA from 1 species